GAGUGCACCGCCCACUCAGUCAGGCUCCGCUCCUGAUACCAGAACUACACCAGUCAAUGGAGCCCCUACAGAACAUCACUGGGAUAGCCUCAUCAUCACAUCCACAGGUUUACCCAAAGAGCAGAGUGGUUCAAGUCGAUAGCAACUUCACCUUCUGCUGUAUUCUUGGGACAGAGACUUGAAUACAUGAAAUACAACAGCAUUGUAAUGAACACCACUCACAUCAGUGACCAGAGCUAUGCCAUGGUUGUGCACAUGAAGUCUCCCUCUCCACCCAGUUGCUUCAAUGUCUACUGUAAUUCAAUUAUGUAUGGCACCUGUGUUCACGUGGGAUACCCCCCUGGUGACAGGAACCUUGUGUGUGAGACCCGGGACCUGGAGUCAGUGGAGUGUCACUGGGACACAGGAAGGGCAACCAAUCUGACUAAACAGAGGAAUACUUGUUAUCACCUGAAUGGAAGAGCUUGUCCAAACGAUACAGUCUCAAACUGCUACCAAACACUACGUGUGGAUCAGGGGGAGAGGAAUUGGAUAUUGACUGCCAGAAACCCGCUCGGCACACUGGAGCUCAAAGACACAGCUGACCUGAAGAGAAGAGGUAGAGUAGUGUGAUAGCUACUCCUCACACACUGCAUACAAAUCUAUUCCUUACUCUCUGUCUUGAUUUACAAGGCCAUUGAAUGUUGUGUGGUUCAACAUUCCAGUGCGUUUAAUGGCUCCCAUGGAAGUGGUAGCUUCAGAUGUGAAUGCCAGAAAUGCCUGUGUUCAGUGGGACUGGGAUAGGCAGCAGUACAAUAUAGUAUUAAUUGUUUGCCAAAUACAGCUGGACCACAGUGGACACAUACGCAUGGUGAGUUACAGUAGGACACCUACAGUAGAAUGGUUCACCCAUUCACAAAGUCUGAACAAUAGAGUUAUUAACUAGGCAUUACUAAUGCCACACCCAUUUACAUUCUAUUCACAGAGGAAAUAUUCUGGUAUAGGUCUUGCAUCAGUAGUUUACAUGGCCUAGCACCUGCCCAGACAUACAUAGUGCAGGUGCGUUGUGGAUUAAAACAGCACUUCUGGAAAUGGGGCAACUGGAGUACCUUACAAACCAAAGAGGACACCACUUACAGUGAAACAGAGUCAUGGGCAGAUCAAGGACUAUGAGGUGACCUGGGGAAGGCAGAAGACCAUUGUCCAUCCACCUCAGCAUGACUUUCUCCUCAGUGAUCAAUUCACCAAUGAGGGACAAAGAGUCACAGUUACAGCCCGAAACUCUGCUGGCAGCUCCUCCCCCUCUAUCAUCACUAUUCCCAGGCUCCCUCACAGAAUGAAACGCUCCAUGAAAAUUGUUGGCCGUGAUGGUGGGUUUGACCUAUCCUGGUCUGCUAGCCCCAAUGCUAGCUGUUACUUCGUGGUGGACUGGUGUCCCACAUACAGUGAAUGCAGACUGGAGUGGAAGAAGGUACCAACUGAUAUAACCAGCGCCAGAAUCCAAUCAGAUAAGAAGGCACAUCUUUGAUUAACCUUAGUAAGGGGAUGGUGUGUUGAAAUUGCUUAAACAGCAUGUCACAAGCUAGCUUUGAAGAGGGGGUGAGAUACACACUCUCCCUCUAUGCCUGUACUCCACGGGUCCCAGAGCUACUGGAGAAAUGGGACGGCUAUGUGAAAGAGUUAGGUAAGGAUCCACUCUUCUGACUUAAUAAUUCAAUCCAGAAUUCUUCAUGCACUUUCCUCUUGCUACAGUAUUUGACCCGUCCCUCUCCAUCUUUGCUCAUUAGUUCCAAAUGGACAGAUUCGGGGUUUGGCUGCAGAACAGCAUGGUUCAGACACUGUUCUGAUCUCCUGGACUGGUAUUCCCCCUGAGAAUCAGACUGCGUUAAUUUGUGGUUACAUCAUAUACUACUCUGAUAUCUCCCAUCCUUCCAGCAUGAGAGCUUUCAAUGUCACUAUAGAUGAGGCUAAGGCCAAUAACCUGACAGGCCUACCUAUCAGCUCCUACAGAUUCAUAGUGAAGGCCCUCACAUCAGUAGGGGAGGGUGGAGAGUCUUCACCAGUCUUCGUCCAAAUGGUCCCACAGAGUAUGUCCUGACCUAUUCAGUUGAUGUGUAUUUGUAUUGCUGCUGCUUUGUAAAAGGCUGUAACUUUCUGACUACAUUCCACAGCUGAUCAGUUGAUCACAGUGAUCAUCAUUUCCUUGGGUUCGGCUGCCUGUCUCCUCACGCUGGUCACCAUCUUAUGCUACAAAUACUGGAAAUGUUUGAAAGAGAAGCUGUAUCCUAAAAUUCCAAAGCCAGUGUGGAAGUAGGAAUGGUUGACACCACUGGAGGACCAUGGCUGCCAUAUCCUCUAUGUGGAUCCAUGUCAUCCCAGUGAGAUUGAUAUAGUGGAUGACCCAGAGCAGUCUUGUGAAGCUGCACCAGAGAAUGAAGCUGGAAACAAGAUGGAGGAGGGUGCCAGAACCAGCAUAUACUCAGAUGUCCCAGCUCCUCAUGUAUACUACAACCAGCGCCUGAGCAAGACCCCUCCAGGACACUCCACCAUCUCCUUUCCUCACACAACGGGGUCUCCAUCCUCUCCAAGCUCAGGCACAGCAAUCCAGAACCCCUCAUACAACCUAGCAGUACAGACUGUUUUAGAUAUGUGACAGCCUGUGGGCUAAGAUGAGCUGUAUAUUAACUGUCCGUCCUGGCCAAACCCUGUACCACACAAUGUCACAUCUUAUGCGCCUUGUGAGAUAAACUUCAGGGGUUUCAGUGUCACAUAGAAACCAGCUCUCCAGGCAGUCCCAUUUCCAUCAGCUUCACUCACUUCUUGCUAUCAGAUUCAUGAACUUAGUACAUAGUCAAUGCACAUUUUGUUCCAACCGAGCACUAACACACCUAAGAGGACAACACGAUUUUGAUUGGGCCAUGAUUGCACUGU